UCGGCCAUUUGCCGGGCGUGAUUCUCGGCGCGCUGCUGCUGGCCGCGCUGCCCGAGGUGCUGCGCCAUGUGGCCGGACC
rnacentral:tRNA from 1 species